UACAGAGGUCUCAAGCGUUGUUCGGAUUCAUUGGGCGUAAAGGGUGCGUAGGCGGCGCGGUAAGUCGGGUGUGAAAUCUCGGGGCUUAACUCCGAAACUGCAUUCGAUACUGCUGUGCUUGAGGACUGGAGAGGAGACUGGAAUUUACGGUGUAGCGGUGAAAUGCGUAGAUAUCGUAAGGAAGACCAGUGGCGAAGGCGGGUCUCUGGUACGUGACUGACGCUGAGACGCGAAAGCGUGGGGAGCGAACAGG
rnacentral:rRNA from 1 species